AGAGGAUCCUGAUCAUCUUCACCAUCUUCAGACAGCCAACUCCUGCCUGGACCACCGCUCACCCAACUAACCUCUAACUCAUCAGCUGAGUUAAAGCACGAGAGGGACUUGAACUACUGCAGGAAACCAGUCAAACCACUGUUGAGUCAAACCUUGAGGGAAUCAUGAAGAUGCAGAUCGUUUGUUUGCUGCUGGUGCUGCUCGGUUCUGAGGUGCUCUCGAAUGACAAAUACAAAAAUCAACAUGACACUUUCAUAAAGAAACACAUCAACCCAGAGAUGACGAUUGAGAAAUGUAAAGAAGAGAUGGAAAAAAUCAAGGAUACGACAUGUAAAAAGUUAAAUACUUUCAUUUUGGAAAAAUCUGACAUAAUUGAUGGACUGUGUAAAGGACAACAGGAUGAAGCAAAGAUCGAAAUUACAAACUAUGAUGUUGUUGACUGUGUGGGGAAAGAACAACCUGAAGGGUGCAGUUACACUGGUGAAGAAAAACAAAAACGAUGCUUUGAAUUAACAUGUGGAGGUAAUCUUCCUGUACACCUUGGAACUUGCAUCAACAAACUUCUUGAUUCCCUAAAACAACAUGUGUUAAACAGAAAAACUGAAAAUGUGAAAUCAGUCAUUUGAGUGUUUGAUUUCU